rnacentral:rRNA from 1 species
UAAUACGUAGGGUGCAAGCGUUAAUCGGAAUUACUGGGCGUAAAGCGUACGCAGGCGGCUUUGCAAGACAGGUGUGAAAUCCCCGGGCCUAACCUGGGAACUGCAUUUGUGACUGCAUGGCUAGAGUUUGUCAGAGGGGGGUGGAAUUCCACGUGUAGCAGUGAAAUGCGUAGAUAUGUGGAGGAACACCGAUGGCGAAGGCAGCCCCCUGGGAUGUGACUGACGCUCAUGUACGAAAGCGUGGGGAGCAAACAGGAUUAGAUACCCUGGUAGUCCACGCCCUAAACGAUGUCGACUGGUUGUUGGGGGUUUGACACUCUCAGUAACGAAGCUAACGCGUGAAGUCGACCGCCUGGGGAGUACGGCCGCAAGGUUA